CUUGGACAAUGGGGGCAACCCUGAUCCAGCGACGCCGCGUGGGUGAUGAAGGCCUUCGGGUUGUAAAGCCCUUUCACCGGGGACGAUGAUGACGGUACUAUAUGAAUAAGCACCGGCUAACUCCGUGCCAGCAGCCGCGGUAAUACGGAGGGUGCAAGCGUUGUCCGGAUUUAUUGGGUUUAAAGGGUGCGUAGGCGGCCCGUUAAGUCAGCGGUGAAAUCCCACGGCUCAACCGUGGAACUGCCGUUGAUACUGGCGGGCUUGAGUUCGGUCGAGGCGGGCGGAACUGGUGGUGUAGCGGUGAAAUGCAUAGAUACCACCAAGAACCCCGAUUGCGUAGGCAGCUCGCUGGGCCGAAACUGACGCUGAGGCACGAAAGCGUGGGGAGCGAACAGGAUUAGAUACCCUGGUAGUCCACGCCGUAAACGAUGAUGACUCGAUGUCGGCGAUACACUGUCGGCGUCCAAGCGAAAGCGUUAAGUCAUCCACCUGGGGAGUACGCCCGCAAGGGUG
rnacentral:rRNA from 1 species